rnacentral:rRNA from 1 species
UACGUAGGGUGCGAGCGUUAAUCGGAAUUACUGGGCGUAAAGCGUGCGCAGGCGGUUUCACAAGCUCGAUGUGAAAGCCCCGGGCUUAACCUGGGAAUGGCAUUGAGGACUGUGGAGCUCGAGUGCGGCAGAGGGAGGUGGAAUUCCACGUGUAGCAGUGAAAUGCGUAGAGAUGUGGAGGAACACCGAUGGCGAAGGCAGCCCCCUGGGUCAAGAUUGACGCUCAUGCACGAAAGCGUGGGGAGCAAACAGG